GUAAUGGUGGCUCAGUGGUAGAGUUCUUGCCUGCCAUGUGAAAAACCAGGGUUCUAUUCCUGAUCAAUGCA